ensembl:lncRNA
CUGUAAUGAAAAUUGACGUAGUUUGUUCCACUUCUUUCUGACACUUCUCUCAUAACUCUACAUGUGAUUCCCUACCUUCUUCAAAUCAUACAUACUCAAUAUUUAAUCACAUCACCACAUCAUACAUACAUACUCAAUAUUUAAUCACAUCACCACAUCAUACAUACAUACAUACUCAAUAUUUAAUCACAUGACCACAUCAUACAUACUCAAUAUUUAAUCACAUCACCACAUCAUACACAUACUCAAUAUUUAAUCACAUCACCACAUCACACAUACUCAAUAUUUAAUCACAUCACCACAUCACACAUACUCAAUAUUUAAUCACAUGACCACAUCAUACAUACAUACAUACUCAAUAUUUAAUCACAUGACCACAUCAUACAUACAUACUCAAUAUUUAAUCACAUGACCACAUCAUACAUACAUACAUACUCAAUAUUUAAUCACAUCACCACAUCACACAUACUCAAUAUUUAAUCACAUGACCACAUCAUACAUACAUACAUACUCAAUAUUUAAUCACAUGACCACAUCAUACAUACUCAAUAUUUAAUCACAUCACCACAUCACACAUACUCAAUAUUUAAU